rnacentral:rRNA from 1 species
GAUGAACGCUGGCGGCGUGCCUAAUACAUGCCAGUCGAGCGAACGGACGCGAAGCUUGCUUCUCUGAUGUUAGCGGCGGACGGGUGAGUAACACGUGGAUAACCUACCUAUAAGACUGGGAUAUCUUCGGGAAACCGGAGCUAAUACCGGCUAAUAUUUUGAACCGCAUGGUUCAAAAGUGAAAGACGGUCUUGCUGUCACUCAUCGAUGAAUCCGCGCUGCAUUAGCCAGUUGGUACGGUAACGGCUUACCAAGACAACGAUGCAUAGCCGACCUGAGAGGGUGAUCGGCCACACUGGAACUGAGACACGGUCCAGACUCCUACGGGAGGCAGCAGUAGGGAAUCUUCCGCAAUGGGCGAAAGCCUGACGGAGCAACGCCGCGUGAGUGAUGAAGGUCGUCGGAUCGUAAAACUCUGUUAUUAGGGAAGAACAUAUGUGUAAGUAACUGUGCACAUCGUGACGGUACCUAAUCAGAAAGCCACGGCUAACUACGUG